rnacentral:lncRNA from 1 species
CAGUUCUUGCUUCUGAAUCCUUUAUCUUAGGGAAAAUGGUAGAAACUUUUUGGGUGCCUACGUUCUGUCCUCUGCAAGUAGACCAGAAUCUUUAUUCUACUUCUGGCUAGAGACUGGACUCUAGGUAGGCAAACCAGGUUGCUACCUCUGAUUGGUCAUCAAAGGAGCAGAGGCCACUCAGGGGAGUCCCUGCUCCCUGCACCAUCUGCGCCAUCUCUGGUCAUACAGUGCCCCUCCUGCCUCUGAAUGACCUUGUGCAGCUCAGUUUCCCUUCCCUUUGACUCCAGCCAUGGGUCAGGUCCUCUUUCUGACUGGUCCGUCCAGGUUCCCAGACAUGGCCCUCCCUUCCUCCCCACUCUGCCUCCUCCGCAGGGUGCCUCUCCUUGCUUCCCCAGGGACCCCCUGGCCUCCAGCUGCUUCAGUUACCCUGUUUUUGCACUCUUCUUCCUAUCGCAAUCAGGUUUUCUAUCUUUUAAGUGAAUCAAAUUAGCGGGAGUAUGUGUGGGGCUAUUUUUACUGGUAAUAAACAGAAUCUUCCUUGGUUUACCUCAGAUAAUUCCCUUUCCCCAGUGAGAGGUUGGGGUUCACAAUUAUUGCAAAAAGCCAACAUGGAAACUGGGAAUCAGGGUCCUGCAGGCACCUGCAGUAGUUUCCCAGCUGGAUUUCAUUGGAAUUAGGACCCAGAUGAGAGACCAGAAGGGGGUCCAAGACCUGGAGUUCUAAGGGUCCUCACUGGGCAGGAGAAGACCCACUCCCUGGCAUGACAGUGAUACAGCCCCCUUCUGCCUCUAACCUCACACAUCUGUCAUUACCAGCCUACCUCCCAAGCUUCUUUCCUCUAAUUCAUGGCUUCUGUUCUCUCCAGGCCUCUGCUUAUCAAGAGUUCUGGGCCUAUGGAGUUCCUGUCAUGGCUCAGCGGUUAACGAACCUGACUAUUAUCCAUGAGGACAAGGGUUCGAUCCCUGGCCUCACUCAGUGGGUUAAGGCUCCGGCGUUGCCAUGAGCUUUUGUGUAGGUGGCAGACUCGGCUUGGAUCUUGUGUUGCUGUGGCUGUGGCUUAAGCCGGUGGCUACAACUUCUUGAAAGCUGCUGGCUGGGUCACCCACUGGCUGACCUUGCAUUGCCUACCACCUCUGGUCCAUUCAUUUGUGAUCACAGAAGACAUGUGGUUCUGUCUGGGGUUUUUCUCCUCUGCAUGGGAGCUGUGGCAGGGGCAUGCAUAUGCCCAGCCCUCUAAGUUUGGCUUUAUCCAGGAAACACUGUUACCCUUCCCAUAAGCACCCAAUGGUUAAACUAGAAUUUUGACAAUUGCCAAACCAAGUGAAUAGCAGCAUCUCCUGGGCAAAUUUUUACAAAUGCAAAUUUCUAGGACCCACUCAUCUGUAGUAACAUGGGGAUAGUACUAACACUUAUCUCAUUAGAUUGAUACGAUCUAUUCUCUUUUUUUUCCAGAACUUUUUGUGUGCUAUGUUAUGAAAAACAGUAGGAAAUCUAAUUAUCCCAAAACAGGAGCUUGUUAAAUUGAGGUCUUGAAAGAGAGAGAGGGACAGUGUAUCAGAAUUGCUUGGGGAGGAGUUCCCACUGUGGCUCAGAGGGUUAAGGACCCGAUAAGUAUCCAUAAGGAUGUGGGUUCGAUCCCAGGCCUCCCUCAGUAGGUUAAGGACCCGGCAUUGCUGCAAGGUACAACACAGGCCCCAGUUGCAGCUCCGAUUUGGGUUUUUUGUUUUGUUUUGUUUUGCUUUGUUUUUUCUUUGUAGGGCCGCACAUGCGGCAUAUGGAAGUUUCCAGGCGAGGGGUCAAAAAGGAGCUGCAGAUACUGGCCUGUGCCACAGCUGCAGCAUUGUGGGAUCCAAGCCUCAUCUGGGACCUGCAGCAUGGCUCAUGGCAAUGCCGCUGGAUCCUUAACCCAUUGAUUGAGGCCAGGGAUUGAAUCCACAUCCUCAUGGAUACUAGUCAGGUUCGUAACCUGCUGAAACACAAUGGGAACUCCCUGCAGCUCCAAUUCAACCCAUACCCCAGGAACUUCCAUAUGCUACAGGUGCAGCCCUAAAAAGAAAAAAAAAAUGGCUUGGGGAGUCUGUGCCUAAUGUAUGUCACCAGAAUGGAGACAGGGGCCGAACUUCCCAAACUAUAUACCAGCUGCAACUCCCACCCCCAAAAGCAAUGCACUUACUGACCUACAGUAGCAUAUCCUUUUUAUUGUUUUGUCUUUUUGCCUUUUCUUGAGCUGCUCCUGCACCAUAUGGAGGUUCCCAGGCUAGGGGUCUAAUUGGAGCUGUAGCCACUGCCCUACACCAGAGCCACAGCAACUUGGGAUCCGAGCCGGGUCUGCAACCCACACCACAGCUCAUGGCAACGCCGGAUCCUUAGCCCAUGGAAUGAACCCGCAGCCUCAUGGUUCCUAGUUGGAUUUGUUAACCACUGCGCCAUGACAGGAACUCCUACAGUAGCAUUUCCUUAAAAGGGGAUCUAUGUAGCCAAUCAAAAUGAUCUUGCAGCCAGUGUACUCAGUAUUGUCAUUGCUGUGGCCCGGGUUUGACCCCUGGUCUGGGAACCUCCGCAUGCUACGGGUACUGAGGGAGGGCAGGGAAGCUCCCCAUUACCUGGGAACUUCAUCGAAACUUAGAGUCUGGGACCUCACUCCAUAUCUACUCAAUCAGAAUAUGCAUUUUGAUAAGACUGCUGCAUGGUUGGUGCACAGAGUAAAGUCUGAAACUCAUGGCUCUAGAACACGCCUUCUUUUCCUGGGGCCUCAUCAGAAUUCAUGUGGGGAGCAUUAAAAAAAAUCCUGAUGCCCAGGUAGCCUCCAGAGCAAUUAAAUCACAGUCUCUAGGGAUGGGGAUGGGCAGUAUAGACCUUGAAACUCUCAGGUGAUCGUGAGGAACAGCCAGGGUUGGAAGCACCUGCUGUGAGACUGCACGCCAGCUGUUAGAGUGCUUAUUCUGUGGCUCGUGUGAACCUGGGGCCUUCCGAUUUUGUUCUUUCUGCUUUUUUAUAUUUUCUGAUUUUUGUUUAGGGAGCAUGUAUUAUUUUUGCAAUGAUAAAGAAGUUAUUUUACUUUAAAAAUUUAUGUAUUUAUGUAUUUACUUAUUUAUUUAAUAGCCAUACCAGCAUAUGGAAGUUCCUAGACCAGGGGUUGAAUCUGAGCUGCAGUUGCAGCAACGCUGGAUCUUUUAACCUACUGCGCCAGGCAGGAAUCAAACCCACACCUCCACAGGGACCUGAAUUGCUGCAGUCAGAUUCUUAACCCCCUGCACCACAGAGGGAACUCUCAGGAAAGUUAUUUUAUUUAUUUAUGUAAUUUUUUGUAGAAGUGAUAUAUUCUUUAUGUAGAGGAUAGGACUGUAUAAACCUCUAGGUUUCUUCUCUUUUUUUGUACAUAUUACCUACUUAUUUUUUAAAAUUAUUCAAUGAAUUUAUUACAUUUAUAGUUGUACAAUGAUCAUCAUAAUCCAAUUUUAGAGCAUUUCCAUCCCACAUCCCCAGCACAUCUCCCCACCCCAUAAACUGUCUCCUUUGGAAACCAUAAGUUUUUUCAAAGUCUGUGAGUCAGUAUCUGUUCUGCAAAGAAGUUCAUUGUGUUCUUUUUUCAGAUUCCACAUGUCAGUGAAAGCAUUUGAUGUUGGUGUCUCACUGUAUGACUGACUUCACUUAGCAUGAUAAUUUCUAGGUCCAUCCAUGUUGCUAAAAAUGCCAGUAUUUCAUUCCUUUUAAUGGCUGAGUGAUAUUCCAUUGUGUCUAUGUACCACAUCUUCUUGAUCCACUCCUCUGUCGAUGGACAUUUAGGUUGUUUCCAUGCCUUGGCUAUUGCAGAGAGUGCUGCAAUGAACAAUGGAGUACAUGUGUCUUUUCGACUCAUGGUUUUCUCUGGAUAGAUGCCCAGGAGUGGGAAUGCUGGAUCAAAUGGGGUCCAAUCGGAGCUGUAGCCACCGGCCUACGCCAGAGCCACAGCAACUCAGGAUCCAAGCCGCGUCUGCAACCUACACCACAGCUCACGGCAACGCCGGAUCGUUAACCCACUGAGCAAGGGCAGGGACCGAACCCGCAACCUCUUGGUACCUAAUCAGAUUCGUUAACCACUGCGCCACGACGGGAACUCCUCAUUUGUUUAUUUUUGUUUUUAUUGUCAUUACUCUAAGAGGUGGCUCUGAGAAGAUGUUGCUGUCAUUUAUGCUGGAGAGUGGCCUAUGUUUUCUUCUAAGAGUUUUAUAGUAUCUGGUCUUAUAUCUAGGUCUUUAAUCCACUUUGAGUUUAUCUUUGUGUAUGGUGUUAGGGAGAAAAGUUAUUUUAAAUUAAAAAAAAUCUAAUGAAUGCAAGGCUCAUCUGAAGUUUAGAUAAGCCUUGAAAUGAGGGAGAUGUUUCAGAGCAGGAUUCACCAUAGAAAGGGGAGUUGGAGGGGGCACAUGCUCCCAGCUUGGGGGAGAGAAAAUGAUAAUAAAGCAAUACAUUGUGCUAUUUCUUUUAUUUUUAGUCAUGAUAUUACAUUUCUUUUGGUUGCGCCUUUGGCAUGUGCAAGUUCCUAGGCCAGGGAUCGAAACCAUGCCGUGGUAGCAACCUGAACUGCUGACCAUGCUGAAUCCUGAACCCACUGUGCCACAUGGGAACUCCUUGAAUUUUUAAAAAUUGCAUUUUAAAAUAAAAACUAUCCAAGAAAGAAAGCAUGAGUUUUUAAUGUUUAGCAAAAGGGAACAUGGGUUAAAUAUUGAAAACCCUAUAUUAGCAGAAAAAGAGGAGUCGGUGGUUCCAUUUACCACCUGACCUUGUGUAUCUCUUUCCCUUAAGAUGAAAGAAACUAAAUGUGAUAGGUAUUUCAUUAUUUUUGCAAUAACACCAAGGGCCAACAUUGCCAUGUCACCAUUUUAAGGGAGACUGAGCCCUAGAGAGGGUACUUAAUUUGCAUUUAACCACUAGCCCAGUGCUGUUCAAUAUGACAGCCAAUAGCCACAUAUGGCUAUUGAGCACUUAAAACAUGGCUGGUCCAAAGUGAUAUGUGCUGUGAGCCUAAGAUAGGUAGCAGAUUCCAAAUACUUAGUAUGAAAAAAAAUGUAGAAUAGCUCAUUGAUAUUGUUUCAUAUUAAUUACACAUUGAAGUGAUACUGUCUUGGAUAUAUUUAGGAUAAAUAAGAUAUAUAUAUAUAUUUGAUCUUUUUUGAGGCGGGGGUCACACCCACGACAUAUGGAAGUUCCCAGGCUAGGGGUCGAAUUGGAGCUGCGCAGCCUACUCCACAGCUCACAGCAAAGUGGGAUCCUUAACACACUGAGCAAGUUCAGGGAUCAAACCUGUGAACCUAAUGUGCAUCCUCAUGGUUGCUAGUCAGAUUCGUUUCCUCUGAGCAACGAUGGGAACUCCCAAAUAAGAUAUAUUGUUAAAAUUUAUUUCAGCUGUCCCCCCCCCCCUUUGUCUUUUUUGUCUUUUCUAGGGCCGCUUCCCGAGGUAUAUGGAGGUUCCCAGGCUAGGGGUCUAAUCGGAGCUGAAGAUGCCGACCUAUACCACAGCUCACGGCAACGCAGGAUCCUUAACCCACUGAGCAAGGCCAGGGAUCCAACCUGCAACCUCAUGGUUCCUAGUCGGAUUUGUUAACCACUGCACUACGACGGGAACUCCUCUUUUCCCCUUUUUAAGUGUGGCUCCUAGAAAUUUAAAAAUUACUUAUGUGGCUUGCCUCUGUGGUUCACUUUAUUUCUAGCCAGGCAGAGGCAACUGGAAGUUAGACCCAAGGGGAUUAUUCCAGUUAUUGUUUAUUCUCUUUGGAAGCCUUCUAAGAGGAUUGGAUGGAAAAGAGGUUAAAAUGAGUUGGAGGGCAUCCUUGCCAACUUUCUUAGCCCAGGGGUUCUCAGCCUCAGCUGAACAUUUGAAUUUCCUAGAGAGCUUUUAAAAAUCCUGAUGCUCAGCUACACGAUUGUCUGAUUAAAUCAACAUCUCUAGAGGAUCUCUCUUUUUCAAGAUACUGAGGUUCAGCCAAGACUGAGAACCACUGCUUUAGUCAGAUAUUUCUUUUUUUUUUUUUUGUCUUUUUAGGGUUGCACCUGCGGCACAAGGAGGUUCCCAGCCUAGGGGUCUAGUUGGAGCUGUAGCUGCCAACCUUCACCACAGCCACAGCAACACCAGAUCCAAGCCGCAUCAGCGAACUACACCACAGUUCACAGCAAUGCUGGAUCCUUGACUCACUGAGCGAGGCCAGGGAUUGAACCUGUAUCCUCAUGGAUGUUAGUUGGAUUCGUUUCCGUUGCCCCACUAUGGAAACUCCUAGCCAGAUUUUUAAAUCCUUCUUCCGUGGGAACAAACUACAGCUACCUGGGAAAGUAGGCUAGCAAAUUCUAGAAAGCAUAGACCUAAGAUGAUCUUGAGGGGUGUUAUUUGGGUCAUUAUACAUUUUAUUUUUUUAAAAAAUGGUGGUCGCUUCAUUUCUGUUUUGUGAAUUAAUCUUGAAAGAGCAGGGUUUGUUUAGUUAUCUUGAAAAUUCAGUUUCUUGGCCACUAGGGGGAUUGGGUUAAAACAUUUGCAGAAGGAUAGGCCUUUGUGCCUGGAGAAACUCCUCACAGUGGAGAUGUAUUGGCACUGUAAUCUUGGUGGCCAAAAAGACAACUUGUAUUGCUACUUUUUUUUCUUCUUUUUUAAGCGGUGUCCAAUGCGUAUAGAAAUUCCAGGGCCAGGGAUUGAACUUGUGCCACGGCAGCCACCCAAGUUGUUGCAGUGACAACACCGUAUUCUUAACUUGCCGCAACAGGAGGGAACGUGUAUAUUGCUACUUUUUAACUUUUAUUUGAGUUAAAUCCUAUCACUCUAAGGGCUUGACCUUCGUGUUAAUGAAUAUAUACUUACAAAAAUGUUUGUGGAGUGCUCACUCUGUGGCAGACACUGUGCUAAGUGCUUCACACGCAUUAUCUCAUUUAAAUCCUCACAACUCCACAGGAGUUCCCACUGUGCUAAGAAGGGAUCAGGGAUGUCCCUGCAGGGCCAGGAAGGAUCUGGUGUUGCUGUAGCUGUGCAACUGCAGCUCGGGUCUGAUCCCUGGCCUGGAACUUCCAUAUGCUACGGGCUGGCCAAAAAAGGAAAAAAAAGAAAAAGGAACUCCUCACAACAAUCUGAUGUACCACGUACAAUUACUGUCUUAAUUUCAGAUAAAAAACAAGGGCCGGGGGAUUAGAGAACAGACCCCAUGGCCCUAGAGCUGGAAAGUAGAGAACUCGAACCCAGUCUUUCCCUAGAACCUGCCUCUUAACCUCUAAAUGAUAUAAUAUUAAAUAUACUUAAACUUGCCCGGUGAUUUUAGUCCUAGGUCUUUACUAAAGGAAAUGAUCAGACAACUGCAUAAUUCAGAACAAAACUAGACCUAGGAAAACCUCAGUGCCCCGGUUCUUGAAGGAGACUAGUUUAAACAAAUUAGUGUAUCGCCAUAAAAUGAAAAAAUCUGCAACAGCUAAGAGCACUGAUAUAGAAGUAAUGUAUUGAAAUGGAAAAAAUCUUCAUGAAGUAUUAAGUUAAAAAAGCAAUUUAUGGAGUUUCUGUCAUGGUGCUGUGGUUAACGAGUCCGACUGGGAACCAUGAGGGUGCGUGUUCAAUCCCUGGCCUUGCUCAGUGGGUUGAGGAUCCGGCGUUGCCGUGAGCUGUGGUGUAGGCUGAUGGCUACAGCUCCGAUUGGACCCUUAGCCUGGGAAUCGCCAUAUACUGAGGGAGCGGCCCAAGAAAAGGCAAAAAGACAAAAAAAAAAAAAAAAAA